GACAGAGGCCACGAACGUUGUUCGGAAUUACUGGGCAUAAAGCGCGCGUAGGCGGCUGGGUCCGUCCGAUGUGAAAGCCCCCGGCUCAACCGGGGAAGUGCAUCGGAUACAGCCCGGCUUGAGGACGGUUGGGGUGAGUGGAACUCCUGGUGGAGCGGUGAAAUGCAUUGAGAUCGGAAAGAACACCAACGGCGAAAGCACUCUGCUGGGCCGACACUGACACUGAGAGACGAAAGCUAGGGGAGCAAAUGGG
rnacentral:rRNA from 1 species